rnacentral:rRNA from 1 species
UACGUAGGGGGCAAGCGUUGUCCGGAAUCAUUGGGCGUAAAGCGCGUGUAGGCGGUUCAGUAAGUCCGCCGUGAAAGUCCAGGGCUCAACCCUGGAAUGCCGGUGGAUACUGUCGGGCUAGAGUCCGGAAGGGGCGAGUGGAAUUCCUGGUGUAGCGGUGAAAUGCGCAGAUAUCAGGAGGAACACCAAUGGGCGAAAGGCAGCUCGCUGGGGACGGUACUG